UACGUAGGGUGCAAGCGUUAAUCGGAAUUACUGGGCGUAAAGCGUGCGCAGGCGGUUAUGCAAGACAGAGGUGAAAUCCCCGGGCUCAACCUGGGAACUGCCUUUGUGACUGCAUAGCUAGAGUACGGUAGAGGGGGAUGGAAUUCCGCGUGUAGCAGUGAAAUGCGUAGAUAUGCGGAGGAACACCGAUGGCGAAGGCAAUCCCCCGUG
rnacentral:rRNA from 1 species